GCCAGAUCCUUAAUCCACUGAGCAAGGCCAGGGAUCAAACCUGCAUCCUCAUGGAUCCCAGGCGGGUUCGUUAACCAUAGAGCCACGACGGGAACUCCAGAUUUGCCAAUUAUUUAUAUUCGCCUCAUUUGUUUUAUCACUCUCUCUGCCUGUCUCUUUAUAUAUAUUUAUCUAGCUACAUCUAUAUUUGUGUAUCUUAUGAAUUAUUUUAGAACUGGUUAGAGUCAUUGUAUCUUUUACCCUACAUAUGCUAAUGAUUAUUUUUCUAAGGACUUUUUCUUAUAAACAAAAGUAUAUUUCUCAUAAUCAAUCAUAUUCAUAUCUUGAUAAGUAUAUAUAAAUGAGGCCUACAAUACCCAGAAGGACUUCUCAGAAUUGCUGGCCCAUACCCCUGUAAGCAGCAGUCCAAUUAACUAGAGCUCCGUAUCUCUCUACACUUUUUUUAAAGGUAAAAUUGCAAUACAUUGAAAUGCGUAAAUAUUAAGUGUUCGAUUUAAUGAACUCUAAGGAUGUACAUGCUUCUAAUAUCACACUGAAAUUGUACCCCUUCUCUGAAGCCAGGCUAGGCUAGCUUCCACAUGCCACUUGAACAUCCCUUUCUUACGAAACUUAUUGCAAUUAUUUCUCUUUUAUGUUCACUAGACGAUGAAUUCAUUAAAGAAAGAGACUACACCUCUUCAUUUUUGGGCCCCCACUUUCAAACAAUAUCUGGCAUAUAUCAAGCUAUCAAUAAAUGUUUGCCAGAGAAGUCAAAUGGCCUUGGAACCAAGAACCUGCAGCUUUAAAUAAGGAAGCUGUGUAAUUUGAAAGUGAAGAUCUGCUUACUACUUCUACUAAAUCACCAGUUCAGCAGGACACAACGCUCUCGUCAGCUGAGGAAGAUCUGUAACUCCAAAGAAAGCAGAAAGGAGGCAGCUGUAAAGACGAGAAAUCAGUGAAAUAGAAAACAGAUAAACGAUAGAAAAAAUAACAUAUACAAUAAAUUUUGAACGCAUAACAAAAUCGAUAAAGCCUACAUAAGCUGAUCAAGAAAAAAAAGAAAAAUUACCAAUAUUAGGAAUAAAUGUGUGAAUAUACUAGCGAGGCUACAGGUAUAAUGAGCAACUUUAUGUUAAUAAAUUCAACAACCAGAUGAAAUUCCUGAACAAUACAACUUACUAAAACAGAAGACACAAGAAGAAAUAGGAAAUUUUAUUAGCCCUGUAUCUAUUAAAUAAAUUGAAUUUGUUAUUGGAAUCUUUGCUCAAACACAACCUCAGUGUCAGAUGGGUUCACUGAGAAACUGUUAAACAUUUACCUAGGAAAAGACAUCAUCCUUACACAAAUGCUUUCAAAAACAUAAGAGGAAGAAGCACUUCGCUAUGUGUUUUAUGAGGCCAGUAUGAUCCCAAUACUAAAUCUGACAGAGACAUUUCAACGAAAGAAAAUUAAAACACUAGUCAUGUCAAACUGGCCACCGAGUUUAGUUUCCUUUCCACACUCCCAACAGCCAGACAAGCUUUCCUGAACUGGGGGGAGGAGAGGGAAGAGCAGGCUGGCUGACUAGUGGGUGAUAAUAUCAAACUUUUGAGCAACCCCCCACUGAAUGUGGAAGAUAAUGCAGUCCAAACUGAUUUUCCUCAGGUUCCUUCAAGAUCUAAACAGAAGCCAGGAGUGGGUAAAGCAAUGUAAGAAAUGUGACUUUGAAGCACCUGAUCUGCUAAACAAACAUUAUUGCCAAAUUCUCCGAGAAACCUAUGGUUUGUAGAACGGGUACUUAUAAGAGAGUUGUCUGAGAUUAUGCUAAGCCAGCAGGAGUUGAUUUCACUAGACAUCUGAACAAUCCCCAUAGCCGACAAUGAAAAUGAAUAAAAUAAUUGAGUGACGAUGAAAUCAGAACAGAGGAAAAACAUGGUAAAACUUCUAGACAUGAGCAAUCACAGAAAUAAACAACGGCAAUACUCAGAACUCCAACUCAGAGGAAGAAGGUAAAGAGUAAGAUGAAGACAUUUUAUCCUUAAACUUUGCAGAGAAUGAAAACAAAGAGCAGCGGAAAUCUUUAUUUGAAGUUUGAGUCUUAUAAAGCAUGAAGUCUGGAUUAACGUGAAACCGACAAAAUCUCCAAAGAUCUCUCUUCUCCUUAGGAUGUUCAAGCACUGCUGGAGUGCAGGAUACCUUCUGGCGAGGCAGUUCUGAGAAAGUGCUUCCAGACAACAGCAGCUGGCACAUCAGUCCUUUUGAAAACACAUCAGAAACAGGUGCUGGAGCCUGCUUCCAUGGGAAAGACACAGGGAAAUGAGAAACUCAUCUCUCCUCCUUUAUCACUGAUAACGAGGGGGACAUGCCGGGGGAAGAGUAAUCCCCAGUGUUGGUGAGGUUCACCGAUGAAUAUCAAGGCCAGGUAGAGGAAUACAGGCUUUCCACUUUCUGAAGCUGAUACAGAAAUUUUGGCUGUGAAAUUUCACAAUAUGAUAACGGAGGAGGGAGGGACAAACAAGGAGCCCUGAUGUGGUCUGGCUCAGAUUAUGUCUAGUGGACUUUCUCUCAAACGCAAGUCAUGGUAACUAGACUUUUAGAGAAAUAACCCCAAGAUAGC